AGCCACGCAAGAGCUCUGUAGCACUUUUCUACUCGUCGAUAGCCGACGACGGAGAACAUAACCAUCAAGUGAAGAAGCCCGCGGCAAAAACGCAUACGCCUGCCUAUGAAAAGCACCCACCAUACUGAACAUAUAACUUCUCGCGGAUUUUCGCAUACACACAAACACACACCAUUGUUGCGCUUUAAGCACAGCACGACUUACCCGCUUGUGCGUUCGUGCUUGCCGCUUCACGGCAUCAGCAGGUGAAAGUUGGAGUGCCCACAGCCAGCAUCAGGCCAGACUCGUACGCAGUUUUUUUGCCCUUGUUUUUUUUUUCGUGCAGCAUUUUCAAGUGGCUUCUUUAAAGAGGCUGCUUGUACCGGUUUUGCUACAGCCUUGCACGCAACGAACCACGACCUGCGAGCACUCGUCUGCCAAAGUCUGUGAAUAAUGACGCCUUUGGUGCUUCUUUCUACUUCUCGUGGAAAGGAUGCAAAUGCAAAGUCGCUAGCUGCGUACCUGACUCGCUCGGUGCUGACGCCGAUCGCAACCAAGGCUGCGACAGCGGCGGGCAGCGUCUCGGCGGCGUCAGAGCCGAUCAAAUACCGCUGCUCUAGCACAGAGCUGCAGUGCGGCUACAGCGGCGGCGUCGACGUGUAUCUUGCCAUCGACAAUCAGCACCGCAGCACCUUCCUCGAGCAUAGUGUGUACCUGUACAGUGCAGCUCUCGAGGUAUGUCCUCAGCUCUCCAUUAGUAUCAUUCCCGUCAUUCGCACAGCAGAGGCGGCGACGUGCGGCACAGCAAGCAAGGAAGAAACUCACGCGCCUGCAGCCUCCCCCUCGCCCUCUGCGCGCUCGAAACAGCAGCAGCAGCAGUUCGACGGAGUGCAGCGCGGCGGUAGCGAUGUCAUCGAGCUGUACGACGAUGCGGCGGCAGUACUGCGGGAGUGGAAGUUGGUGGACAAGGCCUUCAUGCGCGAUGCGGAGGGUUUUAAGCCGCACUACAAGUACGUCGCUGUCGGCGGCACAUUUGACCACUUUCACUCCGGUCACAAGGUUCUCCUUUCUACUGCCGCGCUGCACGCAAUACAGAAGUUGCGCGUUGGUGUGACGGAUGCGUCACUCUUGACACGGAAGAAGUUCGCAGAGUCACUGCAAUCGAUCGAGCUGCGCAUGGAGAACGUGGCACAGUUCCUGCAGAAGAUGCGGCCGGACCUGGAGCUGGAGCUGGAACCCAUCUCAGAGAUAAGCGGGGGCACAAAGAGCAUCCCCGACGUCGAGGCGCUGGUGGUAUCGCCGGAGACGGCGAAGUCGCUCGGCCUCAUCAAUGAGAUGCGCUCCGCAAACGGCGGCUUGGCCCCGAUGGUAGGAAUUUCGAUUCCGCUGGUGGAAUCGCCCACCGGCGAGUUGAUCAGCUCCACCGCCCUGCGGGAGCGCCAGACGCAGGCGGAUUAAGGUUGUGGGCGAAAGGGGCAGGUGCGCGGGACAGGGAAGGGAGAAGAGGGCAACGCAUGUGUGAGAGCUUCUGUGGUUAGAAGCGACUUUGUUCGACGCCUACCCAAGAAUCAAGAAGUGGGAGAGAGAAAACGGUGGGGCUUGAUCCAGAGACGGAAAACGAAGGGGUAAAGCAGAUGAGGCGUUCAGAGCGCCAUCUGUUAGGCUCCAUGAAACAGAAGGACUGAAAGCACCCGAGAUGGAAAUGGAGGGGGGGGGGAAGGUGGAAGCCGCACGAAUCGCUCAAAGCAAGAAAACUUGCUUGCAGUGUGUGUCCAGGUGUGCGCGUUUGCAUGUCGAGCUUGCUGACCAAAACCCGUCUUGUUUCCUCUCCUUUCUUUUGGUUUCGUCUUGGCCUUGUUGCGUGAGCGGGCUUUUCCGCCCUUCGCUCGCUAG
rnacentral:misc_RNA from 1 species